CAAGUUGACAUUUGGUAUUUUGACAACUCUGUCAAAAUUGCAAAGAUCAUUUAAAGCAAUUUUAAAUUAGUUAAGAUUAAGUUAAAAAAGGCAUAUUUUAGAUUAAUGAACCUUAAUUUUACCCAUAUUUAUACUUUAAGAAACCUUACUUAAUAAGUCUGGAUGUCCAUAAAGCACAGCCUGGUCUCGUUUCUUUUGCUAAAACCGACUUGACAAGAUGUCCAAGUCACUCAUGUUCCUGUCUCACUUAAGAAUUCUAAGGACUAAAACAAAUGUGCACACAAAUGGCAUUUACUUUAUAGCAAAUUAUUCAAAAGAUAUCACACCAAACUCAA